UAUGAAGGUUAGGGAAUACAGAUGAGUUGUCCUACCAAGACCUGUAUUUUAUGUCCUCUGUUUUCUUUCAGCUGUUGAGCUGCUUUGCUGCUUUGUGUUCCUCAAGCGUUGCACUGAGAGGGGUGGAUGCACAAGAAUGUGGGGUCUGCACCAGCAAAGGCUUUGCCUGCUUUUCAGAUGCUGUUUGAGAACCAGUUGGAGCCUGACA
rnacentral:lncRNA from 1 species